rnacentral:rRNA from 1 species
CUCGUAGGCGGUUUGACAAGUUAGGUGUGAAAUCCCCGGGCUUAACCCGGGACGGGCACUUAAAACUGUCAGGCUAGAGAUUGGGAGGGGGUGGCGGAAUUCCCGGUGUAGAGGUGAAAUUCGUAGAUAUCGGGAGGAACACCUGAGGCGAAGGCGGCCACCUGGACCAAUACUGACGCUGAGGAGCGAAAGCGUGGGGAGCAAACAGGAUUAGAUACCCUGGUAGUCC